AUACUAAAUUUACAAAUUAAGUUUGUUUACAUUUAUUGGUGUAUGAUGAUUAUUUAGUCGUAGUUCUUGGAUUGGAUUCAAUUGUUGUAUGACAAAAAUCGAAGUGAGCGGCACAAAACUGAGAAAAUUGGUCAUACCCGCUCCUUCAAAAACUAUGUUCAAAUAUAAAGGACUUGUAUUGAUAGUGCUCCUUAUCAACAGUAUUGAGGCUGACAUUCCAGGAUGCGAUUAUUUUGAUACAGUAAAAUUAUUGUCAAGCCAAAAGCUGGCAAAUGGAUCGUAUCAAUAUGAGAACAUCAUUAUUCCCCCAGAACAAACUGGGGAAUAUGAUUACGAGAUUCUUCAGGAUGGAGACAGAGAGGAAGUAGAAAAACAUCUGCGUGGAUGUGCCUGUCACUUGGGCACCUGCAUAAGAUUCUGUUGCCAGAAGAAUGCUCUGCUCGUGGAUGAUGAACGUAAGUGCAGCGAAGAUAUUACAGCAGAGUUGCAGUACGAUCCCAUGGUGAACAUAACGCUAAACAAUGGCACAGUGGUCAGAAGACAUGUACUUAAUGAGUUCAUAGUUCAGCAUGAUUUGCCAGUCCCCUGCAGUGCUCACUUUCAUCUGGAUGCUUUGAAUGAAGCCAACGCAGGCUGGACAUUGUUUGAGAAUGGAACUCUAUUGAGGCACUAUGGUUCAAAGAGUCUGAGCAAACAGGAUUAUUGUCUGCAACCUCAUCAAAUAAGGGAUCCUAUCACAAAUGGCACAAUUAUCAGCCUGGUCCCGCACAAUUGCUUCGACAAACAACGAAGUCAAACGGUUUUUUAAUCUACUUCGUAUUCUUUCGAUGAUCUUUUUGGUACUAACUAUUAUCGUUUAUCUUUCCUUUGAUAAACUUCGAAAUCUGCAUGGAUUGUGUUUCGUAAAUUAUAUGAUUUGCAUCUUUAUGGUAUUUGCCGCUCUAAUGCUCGAAUCGAAAGUUAGGAUGUCUCUCAGACCUUGUCAGCUGAUUGGCUAUUUGGGAUAUUUCGCUGUUAUGGCCGGAUUCAACUGGUUAACUGUGAUCAGCUAUGAUCUGUGGAUCAGUUUCAAGAGUAACAAUUACAAUGUUGAACGCAAAGCUUGGAAAAUGUUAUUCUACAA